GAGUUUGAUCAUGGCUCAGAACGUACGCUGGCGGCACGCCUAACACAUGCAAGUCGAGCGGGGUAGCAAUACCUAGCGGCAGACGGGUGCGUAACAUGUGGGAAUCUGCCUUUUGGUUCGGAACAACAUGGGGAAACCUGUGCUAAUACCGGAUAAGUCCUAACGGAGAAAGUUUUAAUGCCAAAAGAUGAGCCCGCAUUUGAUUAGCUUGUUGGUGAGGUAAAAGCUCACCAAGGCUAUAAUCAAUAGCUGAUUUGAGAGGAUGAUCAGCCACACUGGGACUGAGAUACGGCCCAGACUCCUACGGGAGGCAGCAGUGGGGAAUCUUGCACAAUGGGCGAAAGCCUGAUGCAGCGAUGCCGCGUGAGUGAAGAAGGCCUUUGGGUUGUAAAGCUCUUUUGUCGGGAAAGAUAAUGACUGUACCCGAAUAAGAAGGUCCGGCUAACUUCGUGCCAGCAGCCGCGGUAAUACGAAGGGACCUAGCGUAGUUCGGAAUUACUGGGCUUAAAGAGUUCGUAGGUGGUUGAAAAAGUUGGUGGUGAAAUCCCAGAGCUUAACUCUGGAACUGCCAUCAAAACUUUUCAGCUAGAGUAUGAUAGAGGAAAGCAGAAUUUCUAGUGUAGAGGUGAAAUUCGUAGAUAUUAGAAAGAAUACCAAUUGCGAAGGCAGCUUUCUGGAUCAUUACUGACACCGAGGAACGAAAGCAUGGGUAGCGAAGAGGAUUAGAUACCCUCGUAGUCCAUGCCGUAAACGAUGUGUGUUAGACGUUGGAAAUUUAUUUUCAGUGUCGCAGGGAAACCGAUAAACACACCGCCUGGGGAGUACGACCGCAAGUUUAAAACUCAAAUGAAUUGACGGGGACCCGCACAAGUAGUGGAGCAUGUGGUUUAAUUCGAAGAUACGCGCAGAACCUUACCAACACUUGACAUGUUCGUCGCGACUCUAAGAGAUUAGAGUUUUCGGUUCGGCCGGACGAAACACAGGUGCUGCAUGGCUGUCGUCAGCUCGUGUCGUGAGAUGUUGGGUUAAGUCCCGCAACGAGCGCAACCCUCACUUUUAGUUGCCAUCAUUAAGUUGGGCACUCUGAAAGAACUGCCAGUGAUAAGCUGGAGGAAGGUGGGGAUGACGUCAAGUCCUCAUGGCCCUUACGUGUUGGGCUACACACGUGCUACAAUGGCAUCUACAACAGGAAGCAAAACGGCAACGUUAAGCAAAUCCCGAAAAGAUGCCUCAGUUCGGAUUGCACUCUGCAACUCGAGUGCAUGAAGCUGGAAUUACUAGUAAUCGUGGAUCAGCGUGCCACGGUGAAUGCGUUCCCGGGUCUUGUACACACCGCCCGUCACACCAUGGGAGUUGGUUCUACCUUAAGGCAAGGUUUUAAACCCUUGACCACGGUAUAGUCAGCGACUGGGGUGAAGUCGUAACAAGGUAACC
rnacentral:rRNA from 1 species